UAUCGGCCUCUGUCUUUCUCUGGGGAAGGUUCUGGAAGGAGCUGCUGGGGUAGCGGCGGGGAGUCGGCUCCUGUAUCCGCCCCACAUGGUCCCGAUGGCGGUGAUCUCCCGGGAAAGGCCCCGCCCGGCUCAAUCCCCCUCCCCCUUAUUUCCCGGGACCCUCCCCGGGCCCAGAGGGCUCCCGUUUGAACUUUUCUCUCUUUGAAAUCCCGUUUUCAGAUCCCGGGUGGAAAUGUGGAGCUGGCGGUGCCGGGGCUCCGGCUGAAGGAUGACCCGAGUCUGGAGCGAGUGGGCGAUAUUACUGGGUUCUGGGAGAAACUCGCCUGGUGCGCCCAACUGAAACGUGAAAAUGCAAGGAGAAGAAAUCCCAAGCCAGUAAUGUGCACAAAACUCUUGUCCGCACUAACCUGUUCUGGGUUCACAAGUGAUCCAUGAAACCAUAUCGACCACUGCAGUUGGUGGACAUUGUUAACUUUGCUUUCAAGGCUAAGUUUGACAUUUUCUGGAGUGUACCUGUGCUUCUUUCCCUCCUGGCAAAUCUCUUAAAGAGCACGCUCUGCUGUAUUUUCACCAGAUGCCACUAUAUUGGACAUGAGUGAAUCAGGCGGUAAUGAGUUUCUGAGAACACCCCCCAUGGAAAAGCUGGAAUGAAUUUCAACAUCUGACCUGGUUCCCCAGCAGAAUAUUACACACUUAAGUGCCACUUAAGGCUUGUAAAUGUGCAAUAAUCACUUUGGUUGUAUGGAAUAUAUUCAAAUAAAGAUCCUUAUUCAAAUUA